rnacentral:rRNA from 1 species
GACGAACGCUGGCGGCGUGCUUAACACAUGCAAGUCGAACGGAAAGGCCCCUUUGGGGGUACUCGAGUGGCGAACGGGUGAGUAACACGUGAGUAACCUGCCCUUGACUUCGGGAUAACUUCAGGAAACUGGGGCUAAUACCGGAUAGGAAUCCUUGCUGCAUGGUGGGGGUUGGAAAGCUUCGGCGGUUUUGGAUGGACUCGCGGCUUAUCAGCUUGUUGGUGGGGUAGUGGCUUACCAAGGCUUUGACGGGUAGCCGGCCUGAGAGGGCGACCGGCCACAUUGGGACUGAGAUACAGCCCAGACUCCUACGGGAGGCAGCAGGGGGGAAUAUUGCACAAUGGGCGGAAGCCUGAUGCAGCAACGCCGCGUGCGGGAUGACGGCCUUCGGGUUGUAAACCGCUUUCAGCAGGGGCGAAGCUUGUGGUGACGGUACCUGCAGAAGAAGCACCGGCUAACUACGUG